rnacentral:misc_RNA from 1 species
GGAGACAGCAUAGAUGACUUUAGACACUAGUAAAGUUUGACCAUGCAACAAAAGUUGCAAGACUAAAACAGAAUAAAACUUAAAAUACUAAAGGUUACCUUAAAAAAAAUGUAGCUAACAAAUAUAAAAAUACCAAAAAUAGACAGUGUUCGAGCUAAUAUAAAUAAUUUCCUCUAGUGUGGAAUAUAUAGUAAAGAGUAAACUGAGAGAUGAUGGCCUAGAGAGAGGAAGACUAUAUGUUGCAGCUACUUGACAAAAUGUGCACAAGAUUUUUGUCCUUCAAAUAUAGGAAG